rnacentral:pre_miRNA from 1 species
AGUGGGAUAGCUGGGUCAAAUGGUGGUUCCAUUCCAGGUUUUCUGGGGAAUUUACACAAUGCUUUCCAAACUGGUUGUACCAAUUUGCAGUCCCACCAGCAAU